rnacentral:rRNA from 1 species
GUCUACGGCCAUGCCACUCUGAACAAGCCCGAUCCCGUCUGAUCUCAGAAGCUAAGCAGGGUUAGGCUUGGUUAGGACUUGGAUGGGAGACCACUUAGGAAGACCAGGUGCUAUAGGCA